ACGAUAAGUCUAGUAAUGGUCCAAGACUAAAACGGCACAUCAUCCAUAAAUCUCCACCUUGACGUUUAGGUCAAAACACAAAGAACAUCCCACCGAAACUCUACCGUUCCGACAAAACCAAGAACCAUGCCGUAAACACCACCACACAGUCUCACUGAUUCCACUGGACAAUACGGAUCCAACAACGAAACACUUCCUCCGCCUAUUGAACCCGAACACCAGCUUGUUGCAAGUCUAGAUCCUCUCAUCUUCACCACUGAAAGGACAAGAUCUCCAACUCUUACUCUUCCGGAAGAUUUAAAGUUUCCUGACCCUCCAAUUGUUCAUCUGAACACCGCAGAACCAACCGUGAAUCUUCCAGUAGCAGCUGAAACUCAGCCACAACAAACUGCCCUUGAAACUAUGACGAACACAUGAAUCUCUUUGGAGAAACACCAGUAACCCCAGCGUGAGUCUACAAUCUUCUUUAUCCUUUGGUAGUUAAUUCGUUGUUUAUCCAGGAACAAAACACUAACCCUUUUGUUCUCUGUUGAUACAUGUACUCAACCGGUGAGAGGGCUAAACAACAAAACCAUCUCGGAGUAUGUUCUGGCGCGAUCAGGCAAUGACCCCCAGCGUUACGAGAAACUUCUCGAACGUAUGAUAUACCUUGGAUUUGACCCAUUUUUAUCCAUGGUUCAGGUGCAUUUCGGAGUAAAGCUAUGACUUUGGAGCAUUUUGGAGCUUAAAGGACAUUU